GACGAACGCUGGCGGCGUGCUUAACACAUGCAAGUCGAACGGAAAGGCCCUGCUUUUGUGGGGUGCUCGAGUGGCGAACGGGUGAGUAACACGUGAGUAACCUGCCCUUGACUUUGGGAUAACUUCAGGAAACUGGGGCUAAUACCGGAUAGGAGCUCCUGCUGCAUGGUGGGGGUUGGAAAGUUUCGGCGGUUGGGGAUGGACUCGCGGCUUAUCAGCUUGUUGGUGGGGUAGUGGCUUACCAAGGCUUUGACGGGUAGCCGGCCUGAGAGGGUGACCGGCCACAUCGGGACUGAGAUACGGCCCGGACUCCUACGGGAGGCAGCAGUGGGGAAUAUUGCACAAUGGGCGGAAGCCUGAUGCAGCAACGCCGCGUGCGGGAUGACGGCCUUCGGGUUGUAAACCGCUUUCGCCUGUGACGAAGCGUGAGUGACGGUAAUGGGUAAAGAAGCACCGGCUAACUACGUG
rnacentral:rRNA from 1 species